rnacentral:rRNA from 1 species
GCGCACGCUGGCGGCCUGCUUAACACAUGCAAGUCGCGCGGGUGGUUUCGGCCAUCCGCGGCGGACGGGUGAGUAUCGCGUAGGAAUGUAUCCCGAGGUGGGGGACAACCCUGGGAAACUGGGGCUAAUACCGCAUGGGGCCUGUGGGUCAAAGCCUUAGGGCGCCUUGGGAGCAGCCUGCGUCCGAUUAGGUAGUUGGUGGGGUAAAGGCCUACCAAGCCUGCGAUCGGUAGCUGGUCUGAGAGGACGAUCAGCCACACUGGGACUGAGACACGGCCCAGACUCCUACGGGAGGCAGCAGUGGGGAAUAUUGGACAAUGGGCGCAAGCCUGAUCCAGCAAUGCCGCGUGGGUGAAGAAGGUCUUCGGAUUGUAAAGCCCUUUCGGCGGGGACGAUGAUGACGGUACCCGCAGAAGAAGCCCCGGCUAACUUCGUG